rnacentral:tRNA from 1 species
GCCCGCAUAGCUCAGCUGGUAGAGCACCUGAUUUGUAAUCAGGGGGUCGGGGGUUCAAAUCCCUCUGUGGGCUCCA